AUUGAACGCUGGCGGCAGGCCUAACACAUGCAAGUCGAGCGGAUGAGAAGAGCUUGCUCUUCGAGUUAGCGGCGGACGGGUGAGUAAUGCCUAGGAAUCUGCCUGGUAGUGGGGGACAACGUUUCGAAAGGAACGCUAAUACCGCAUACGUCCUACGGGAGAAAGCAGGGGACCUUCGGGCCUUGCGCUAUCAGAUGAGCCUGGGUCGGAUUAGCUAGUUGGUGAGGUAACGGCUCACCAAGGCGACGAUCCGUAACUGGUCUGAGAGGAUGAUCAGUCAAACUGGAACUGAGACACGGUCCAGACUCCUACGGGAGGCAGCAGUUGGGAAUAUUGGACAAUGGGCGAAAGCCUGAUCCAGCCAUGCCGCGUGUGUGAAGAAGGUCUUCGGAUUGUAAAGCACUUUAAGUUGGGAGGAAGGGCAGUAAGCGAAUACCUUGCUGUUUUGACGUUACCGACAGAAUAAGCACCGGCUAACUCUGUGCCAGCAGCCGCGGUAACAC
rnacentral:rRNA from 1 species